rnacentral:rRNA from 1 species
GCCUGUUUAUCAAAAACAUCGCCUAAAGCUAAGAUUUUAGGUUAAAUCUGCCCCCUGCAGUAUCUUCUGUAAAUGGCUGCAGUACCUUGACUGUACUAAGGUAGCAUAAUAAUUUGGCUUUUAAUUGAAGUCUGGCAUGAAUGAAUUUAUUGGGAGAAGCUGUCUUUUUGGGCCGCUAUAGAAGUUUCUGAUUAGGUGAAAAAGCCUAUAGUUUAUUAAAGGACGAUAAGACCCCUUGAUCUAAAAUUAAAAAUUUGUUGGGGCAACACAGGAGUCAAUUCCUCCUUAGAGAUUUAUCCUAUUUGCAAAGUUGGAGUAAUGAAAAAGAUACCAAGGGGAUAACAGCAUAAUUAUUUUGUUAGCUUAUGACCUCGAUGUUGGAUUUGGGAAGAUUAGGAUAGAAGCCCACAUCGGCUGCUCUGUUCGAGCAUAUAUCCCCAACGUGAUCUGAGUUCAGACCG